UAGCUAGGUUGGUUGGUAGAUUGGUUGGUAGGUAGGUAGGUUGGUAGGUAAGUAGGUAGGUAGGUAGGUAAGUAGGUAGGUUGGUUGGUAGACUGGUUGGUAGGUAGGUUUAUAGGUAGGUUGGUUGGUAGGAAGGUAGGUAGGUUGGUAGAUUGGUAGGUAGGUAGGUAGGUUGGUUGUUUGGUAGGUUGUUUGGUAGGUAGGUAGGUUAUUGAUCCCCAAACAGCCCAAGGGUCAAACUGGACCGCAGUAGCUUCAUUUGGAGUACAAAGAGUUAAGCUCUGGUAUUGUAAUUUGGUGGAAAUGUAAGUGUGUAGUGUGUAGUUAUAUGGUUUUAUUGAACA